AUUGAACGCUGGCGGCAGGCCUAACACAUGCAAGUCGAACGAGUGGCGGACGGGUGAGUAAUGUCUGGGAAACUGCCUGAUGGAGGGGGAUAACUACUGGAAACGGUAGCUAAUACAGCAUACCAUCAGAUGUGCCCAGAUGGGCUUAGCUUGUUGGUGGGGUAACGGCUCACCAAGGCGACGAUCCCUAGCUGGUCUGAGAGGAUGACCAGCAACACGGGAACUGAUACACGGGCCAUACUCCAACGGGAGUCAGCAGUGGGGAAUAUUGCACAAUGGGCGCAAGCCUGAUGCAGCCAUGCCGCGGGUAUGAAGAAGGCCUUCGGGUUGUAAAGUACUUUCAGCGGGGAGGCGUUACCCGCAGAAGAAGCACCGGCUAACUCCGGGCCAGCCGCCGCGGUAAUUC
rnacentral:rRNA from 1 species